rnacentral:rRNA from 1 species
AUUGAACGCUGGCGGCAGGCCUAACACAUGCAAGUCGAGCGAGCGGCGGACGGGUGAGUAAUGCCUGGGAAUUGCCCAGUCGAGGGGGAUAACAGUUGGAAACGACUGCUAAUACCGCAUACGAUUGGAUUGCCCAGGUGGGAUUAGCUAGUUGGUGAGGUAAUGGCUCACCAAGGCGACGAUCCCUAGCUGGUCUGAGAGGAGUACUCGCCAACCUGGAACUGAUACACGGUCCAGACUCCUACGGGAGGCUGCCGUUGGGAAUAUUCCACAAUGGGGGAAACCCUGAUGCCGCCAUGCCGCGGGUGUGAAGAAGGCCUUCGGGUUGUAAAGCACUUUCAUCGAGGAGGCGUUACUCUCAGAAUAAGCACCGGCUAACUCCGUGCCAGCAGCCGCGGUAAUAG